CUUGUGGAGAGUACAAGAACUUGUGAGUAGUAUUUGAAUUUAUUCAAUACAAAAGCAUACUCGAUGAAGCAAGAA
ncrna:unclassified sequences RAGATH-18 RNA